rnacentral:rRNA from 1 species
GACGAACGCUGGCGGCGUGCUUAACACAUGCAAGUCUAACGGAGAAUUUAUUUCGGUAAAUUCUUAGUGGCGAACGGGUGAGUAACGCGUAGGCAACCUGCCCUCCAGUUGGGGACAACAUUCCGAAAGGAAUGCUAAUACCGAAUGUGAUCCUUCUUCCGCAUGGAGGAAGGAUGAAAGAUGGCCUCUAUUUAUAAGCUAUCGCUGGAAGAUGGGCCUGCGUCUGAUUAGCUAGUUGGUGGGGUAACGGCUCACCAAGGCGAUGAUCAGUAGCCGGUCUGAGAGGAUGAGCGGCCACAUUGGGACUGAGACACGGCCCAAACUCCUACGGGAGGCAGCAGUGGGGAAUCUUCCGCAAUGGACGAAAGUCUGACGGAGCAACGCCGCGUGAGUGAUGAAGGUCUUCGGAUUGUAAAACUCUGUUGUCAGGGACGAAUGUGCGAACGUUGAAUAAGCGUUUGUAUUGACGGUACCUGACGAGGAAGCCACGGCUAACUACGUGCCAGCAGCCGCGGUAAUACGUAGGUGGCAAGCGUUGUCCGGAAUUAUUGGGCGUAAAGAGCAUGUAGGCGGGCUUUUAAGUCCGACGUGAAAAUGCGGGGCUUAACCCCGUAUGGCGUUGGAUACUGGAAGUCUUGAGUGCAGGAGAGGAAAGGGGAAUUCCCAGUGUAGCGGUGAAAUGCGUAGAUAUUGGGAGGAACACCAGUGGCGAAGGCGCCCUUCUGGACUGUGUCUGACGCUGAGAUGCGAAAGCCAGGGUAGCAAACGGGAUUAGAUACCCCGGUAGUCCUGGCCGUAAACGAUGGGUACUAGGUGUAGGAGGUAUCGACCCCUUCUGUGCCGGAGUUAACGCAAUAAGU